rnacentral:rRNA from 1 species
GUCGUAAAGUUCUGUUGUUAGGGAAGAACAAGUACCAGAGUAACUGCUGGUACCUUGACGGUACCUAACCAGAAAGCCACGGCUAACUACGUGCCAGCAGCCGCGGUAAUACGUAGGUGGCAAGCGGUGUCCGGAAUUAUUGGGCGUAAAGCGCGCGCAGGUGGUUCCUUAAGUCUGAUGUGAAAGCCCACGGCUCAACCGUGGAGGGUCAUUGGAAACUGGGGAACUUGAGUGCAGAAGAGGAAAGUGGAAUUCCAAGUGUAGCGGUGAAAUGCGUAGAGAUUUGGAGGAACACCAGUGGCGAAGGCGACUUUCUGGUCU